GCAGUGGUGGCUGAGUGGUAACAUGCUUGACUCAUAAUCAGGGGUGUUACAGGUUCAAAUCUUGCCCAGGUCAGCA